rnacentral:rRNA from 1 species
ACGGUACUUAAUGAAUAAGCCCUGGCUAAUUAUGUGCCAGCAGCCGCGGUAAUACAUAAGGGGCGAGCGUUAUCCGGAAUUAUUGGGCGUAAAGGGUGCGUAGGCGGUUUAAUAAGUCUAUAGUUUAAUUUCAGCGCUUAACGCUGUUGCGCUAUAGAAACUGUUUUACUAGAGUGAGUUAGAGGCAAGCGGAAUUCCAUGUGUAGCGGUAAAAUGCGUAAAUAUAUGGAGGAACACCAGAGGCGUAGGCGGCUUGCUGGGACUUUACUGACGCUGAGGCACGAAAGCGUGGGGAGCAAACAGGAUUAGAUACCCUGGUAGUCCACGCCGUAAACGAUGAGUACUAAGUGUCGGGUAAAACCGGUACUGAAGUUAACACAUUAAGUACUCCGCCUGAGUAGUACGUACGCAAGUAUGAAACUUAAAGGAAUUGACGGGACUCCGCACAAGCGGUGGAUCAUGUUGUUUAAUUCGAAGAUACACGAAAAACCUUACCAGGUCUUGACAUUUUCUUGCGAAGUUAUAGAAAUAUAAUGGAGGUUAUCAGGAAAACAGGUGGUGCAUGGUUGUCGUCAGCUCGUGUCGUGAGAUGUUAGGUUAAGUCCUAAAACGAGCGCAACCCUUGUCGUUAAUUGCCAGCAUGUAAUGAUGGGGACUUUAACGAGACUGCCAAUGAAAAAUUGGAGGAAGGUGGGGAUUACGUCAAAUCAUCAUGCCCCUUAUGAUCUGGGCUACAAACGUGAUACAAUGGUUGAUACAAAGAG